rnacentral:rRNA from 1 species
GGCGUAAAGAGCUCGUAGGUGGUUUGUCGCGUUGUUCGUGAAAUCUCACGGCUUAACUGUGAGCGUGCGGGCGAUACGGGCAGACUUGAGUACUGCAGGGGAGUCUGGAACUCCUGGUGUAGCGGUGGAAUGCGCAGAUAUCAGGAGGAACACCGGUGGCGAAGGCGGGUCUCUGGGCAGUAACUGACGCUGAGGAGCGAAAGCGUGGGGAGCGAACAGGAUUAGAUACCCUGGUAGUCCACGCCGUAAACGGUGGGUACUAGGUGUGGGUUUCCUUCCUUGGGAUCCGUGCCGUAGCUAACGCAUUAAGUACCCCGCCUGGGGAGUACGGCCGCAAGGCUAAAACUCAAAGAAAUUGACGGGGGCCCGCACAAGCGGCGGAGCAUGUGGAUUAAUUCGAUGCAACGCGAAGAACCUUACCUGGGUUUGACAUGCACAGGACGCCGGCAGAGAUGUCGGUUCCCUUGUGGCCUGUGUGCAGGUGGUGCAUGGCUGUCGUCAGCUCGUGUCGUGAGAUGUUGGGUUAAGUCCCGCAACGAGCGCAACCCUUGUCUCAUGUUGCCAGCGGGUAAUGCCGGGGACUCGUGAGAGACUGCCGGGGUCAACUCGGAGGAAGGUGGGGAUGACGUCAAGUCAUCAUGCCCCUUAUGUCCAGGGCUUCACACAUGCUACAAUGGCCGGUACAAAGGGCUGCGAUGCCGCGAGGUUAAGCGAAUCCUUUUAAAGCCGGUCUCAGUUCGGAUCGGGGUCUGCAACUCGACCCCGUGAAGUCGGAGUCGCUAG